AUGACUGAGAGCUGUCCUUCAUGACAACAGAACCCACAACAACCAUGACUUUUAUCACCAUCUUCAUCUGGAUAUUUGCCCUCUUCUUCAAGGAAUCCAGAGGACAGAUCACUGUGACACAGACUCCUGCAGUGAAAACUGUUCUCCCAGGACAGACAGUCUCUCUGAACUGUAAAGCCAGCAGUGAUGUGUAUCCUAACUGUAGGCGUUUAGGUAAACCAUGUUUAGCCUGGUAUCAACAGAAACCUGGAGAAACUCAUAAAGCAUUGGUCUACUACGGAAGCGUCCUCUUCUCUGGGACUCCAUCUAGAUUCAGUGGCAGUGGAUCUGGGAGUGACUUCACUCUGACCAUCAGUGGAGUCCAGGCUGAAGAUGCAGGAGAUUACUACUGUCAGAGUGUACACAUCAUCAAUAGUGAAGAUGUGUUCACACAGUGAUACAGAGCCGUACAAAAACCUCCCUCAGUCAGACUCCACAGUGACUGUACUGCUACAGCUGGGACCUACUGCAGGUGCUGAGGGGAGGAGAUGAUCCAGUACAAUGACACAGUGUGUAGGAGAGAUGAACAACAAUAGAGUCAAACCAGAGCUAUGUCUAGAAGACCUUAGAUCAUAACUGAUCAUUAAAUGUUUCUCCUGACYAUUAACUACAUGUUAACUCUGUGGAGUAACUCAAGGAAAACCAUCAACCAAUAUGAAUUAGAGAUGUGCAAUGAUCAAAACCCURAAGAUGACCUGUGUUUUGAAUAGCUAGAAUUUAAACAUGAUUAAAACACAUAAUAAAGCCCAUAAACAGUACCCAUACAUCCUCCCUCACACCACUGUGGUAGUUCCAGAGAGCAGCMGGUGAAGCAGGAGACAUCAGAGCUCUAGAGAUCUCCCCUUUAGUUCAGAGUCAGUCAGCAGCGUCAGUCCACACACUGCAGUUACUAACCCUGACCAAGACAGAAAGAUACAAUCUGGUCUAAUAACACAGUAAUAACAAUAUGCUCAAUUGGUAGAUGUUWAUAAUCAAUAYAUCAGUMCCCAUUCAGCACGUAUAUCAGAAACCAGUAACAUAGUUAUCAUGUUUCU